rnacentral:ncRNA from 1 species
UUUAACAGGACUCUUUUGAGGCCCUUUAAUUGGAAUGAGUACACGUUAAAUCGUUUACCGAGGAUCUUUUGGAGGGCAAGUUUGGUGCCAGCAGCCACGGUAAUUCCAGCUCCAA